CCUACGGGAGGCAGCAGUGAGGAAUAUUGGUCAAUGGACGCAAGUCUGAACCAGCCAAGCAGCGUGCAGGAAGACGGCCCUACGAGUUGUAAACUUCUUUUGUACGAGGGUAAAUUCAGGUACGUGUACCUUUUUGAAUGUACUGUAUGAAUAGGGAUCGGCUAACUCCGUGCCAGCAGCCGCGGUAAUACGGAGAAUCCAAGCGUUAUCCGGAUUUAUUGGGUUUAAAGGGUGCGUAGACGGGUUUUUAAGUUAGGUGUGAAAGCUUGGGGCUCAACAGCGAAAUUGCAUGUGAUACUGGAAGACUUGAGUAUAGUUGCGGUAGGCGGAAUGUGUGGUGUAGCGGUGAAAUGCUUAGAGAUCAUACAGAACGCCGAUUGCGAAGGCAGCUUACCAAACUGUAUCUGACAUUGAGGCACGAAAGCGUGGGGAGCAAACAGGAUUAGAUACCCGUGUAGUC
rnacentral:rRNA from 1 species